GACGAACGCUGGCGGCGUGCUUAACACAUGCAAGUCGAACGGAAAGGCCCUGCUUUUGUGGGGUGCUCGAGUGGCGCACGGGUGAGUAACACGUUAGUAACCUGCCCUUGACUUUGGGAUAACUUCAGGAAACUGGGGCUAAUACCGGAUAGGAGCUCCUGCUGCAUGGUGGGGGUUGGAAAGUUUCGGCGGUUGGGGAUGGACUCGCGGCUUAUCAGCUUGUUGGUGGGGUAGUGGCUUACCAAGGCUUUGACGGGUAGCCGGCCUGAGAGGGUGACCGGCCACAUUGGGACUGAGAUACGGCCCAGACUCCUACGGGAGGCAGCAGUGGGGAAUAUUGCACAAUGGGCGGAAGCCUGAUGCAGCAACGCCGCGUGCGGGAUGACGGCCUUCGGGUUGUAAACCGCUUUCGCCUGUGACGAAGCGUGAGUGACGGUAAUGGGUAAAGAAGCACCGGCUAACUACGUG
rnacentral:rRNA from 1 species